rnacentral:misc_RNA from 1 species
CGGGUGUCCAGGCGCCGGAUCUGAGCGAACGUCUCAGCCGGUUAGCUCAUGGGUGGAACAUUGACAUUGGUGCGGAGCCGAACGGCUCGAACUCAGUACGCCUCCUCGGAGGAAGGAACGGUUCGGAUCACUAGGCGCCGCACAUGCACGCUGUUGGGUCCUGAGGGACCGGGCCUCAUCGAAUGAUGAGAACUGGACCUCUGGACCUUUUCUUGUCGGCAUCACUUGCCGGACGGAGAAGGUACCGCCCGUACUUUGAGAACUACACAGUGGACGCGAGCAUCUUAGAUUCGAACCUUCGGGUUCGGAUCACAAAAGAUGAUCUGAUUUAUUAGAUCAUUGGUCAAUCUGCUCAUCUUCGGAUGAGCCGAUCGAUUCAAACUCAUGUGAU